UACGUAGGGGGCGAGCGUUGUCCGGAUUUAUUGGGCGUAAAGAGCUCGUAGGCGGUUCGAUAAGUCGGACGUGAAAUCUCCACGCUCAACGUGGAGGGGCCGUUCGAUACUGUCGUGACUCGAGUCCGGUAGGGGAGUGUGGAAUUCCCGGUGUAGCGGUGAAAUGCGCAGAGAUCGGGAGGAACACCCGUAGCGAAGGCGGCACUCUGGGCCGGUACUGACGCUGAGGAGCGAAAGCGUGGGGAGCAAACA
rnacentral:rRNA from 1 species